rnacentral:rRNA from 1 species
GGGUGAAAUCUGGUGUCUGCAUGGUGGUUGAAGAUUAUUUAAAAGAUUUUUAGGCUGUUAAAACUUGGGUUUAAAACAGGAUUAGAUACCCUGCUAUACCAAAGUUAAAAAUAGGUCGCUUAAGUAGUAAACAGUUAUAUUCUUGAAACUUAAAGAAUUUGGCGGUAUCUUAGUCUCGUUAGAGGAAUCUGUUCUAUAAACGAUAAACCACGAAUUAUCUUACUCUCUUUUGUUAGUCAGCUUGUAUACCGCCAUUAUUAGGAAGUUUUAAUAAAAAUCUGCUGAAAUAAUUAAAAUUUAAUAUAUUAGGUCAAGGUGCAGCCAAUAGGAGAGCAAGUAAUGGAUUACAAUGAUAUAAGUGUAUAAUGGAUCUAUAAGUGAAUUCUUAUUUUGAAGGUGGAUUUAAUAGUAAGGUUUGUUUAAUAAGCAAAUCUGAUAGAAGCUCUAAGAUGUGUA